GACGAACGCUGGCGGUGUGCCUAAUACAUGCAAGUUGAGCGCUGAAGGUUGGUACUUGUACCAACUGGAUGAGCAGCGAACGGGUGAGUAACGCGUGGGGAAUCUGCCUUUGAGCGGGGGACAACAUUUGGAAACGAAUGCUAAUACCGCAUAAAAACUUUAAACACAAGUUUUAAGUUUGAAAGAUGCAAUUGCAUCACUCAAAGAUGAUCCCGCGUUGUAUUAGCUAGUUGGUGAGGUAAAGGCUCACCAAGGCGAUGAUACAUAGCCGACCUGAGAGGGUGAUCGGCCACAUUGGGACUGAGACACGGCCCAAACUCCUACGGGAGGCAGCAGUAGGGAAUCUUCGGCAAUGGACGAAAGUCUGACCGAGCAACGCCGCGUGAGUGAAGAAGGUUUUCGGAUCGUAAAACUCUGUUGGUAGAGAAGAACGUUGGUGAGAGUGGAAAGCUCAUCAAGUGACGGUAACUACCCAGAAAGGGACGGCUAACUACGUG
rnacentral:rRNA from 1 species